UGGAGUCUCUCUCUUUUCUGCCUGAUCAUCAUGUGAGCUGCUUCCCUCCACCACAAUCUUCUGCCACGAUGCUCUUCCUCCCCUUGAGCCCUGAGGAGUGGAGCCUGCUGUCUAUGGAUUGAGACCUCUCUGAAACCGUGAGCCCUCACAUAAACUUUUCCUCCUCUGUGAUCGUUCUGGUCAGGUCUUUUAGUCACAGCAGUGGAAAAAGCUGAUGAAAGCAACCAGGCUGGGAUGAAAACCAGAGUCAUAUCAUCUUUUCCACUCAUCCAGGGACCUCAGGCAUGAACCUAGCAAAGAGAGAAGAAAGGAGACUCUUCCUGCCCUGCACUCCCAGAGACAAGGUGGUGAACAGUACAGCCGUUAGAGAAUGCUAGACCUCCUCCUCCACCUUGAUGGUUGAAGUCGUUUCAGCAGUUCCUCAAGAGCUGCUUUAACCACGAGGAGGCAGAGUGGAACAUUCUUCUCUUUCAUGAUGUCCCAAACAAGUUGCCACAUGGUAGCCCUGGUCUGAAGGAGAUCCAGCAUAUAAGAAAAUUCCAAUGGUGAGCACAGCAGCUGUGAAUCCCCAAGCACCCAUGAUCUGCCAACCUCAACCUCCUAGAGAGCUGGGAUUGCAGAUAGAUGAGGCAAGAAGCUGGAAAGAAGUUGGUGGUGAGCUGCUGUGUCUGUGGCAGCACAGGAGGCCCGCCAUUUAGACCUGCAACAGGCCACUUGAUAGUAGUGAAGAAGAAUCCGGCUUUGCUGGCUGUGACCCUCAAAGGCAUCCCCUGCUGUGAUUAGCUGCUAACACUGAUAUGGGCUUCCUGGGCUACAGAGGCCAAGGAGCCCAGGAGCAUGCACAAGCCCCACAUGCCAGCAGAAGCAGAGAGUCCUCUGGCCAAGUUGAUCUCAAGAUCUUAUGGUUUCACCCAGGCCACAAAAGGCCAAGCUGUUACAAAAUCUGAGUUUGCAUUUUGAAGGUUGAAGAAUGCACAAAAUGAAGAUAAGAAGCUUCUUGCUCAAAAAGCAGAGACCAGUGCCAAAGCAGAUGAACUUUCUACCAACACCCUCCGUCCUUGGCUUCCUGAUGAGUACGGAGGAUGGAAAGGUAGAGGAACGUGACAGCAAUGAGAAAAGACGUCUUGAAGACUCCUCUCCCUCAACUUGACCAAACUAAACUGAAGUCACGCUCCCCUCACUUACUAUUUCUCAUUUCCCAUUUUGGCAACAAACACCAUCAUUCACUUGGUAGUAUCAACUAUAAAAUUAGGAAUUGGACUUUGCAAAUAUGUCUCCUUUGCCCAUAUCAAAUUUUUAACUGAUUGUUGUCCAUUCAAUCUCCAACUUAAUACCAAUGUGAUAGUAUUAAGAGGUGGGGCUUCUAGAGACCAUUCACUGGUGACGGAUGGGUUCAGGGUUCUUAUAAAUGGGCUUGAAGGAGUGAGCUUAUCCCGUUUCCUCCCCUUGUUUCAUUUGAGAACUCAGAGUCCCCCUCCAGAGCAUGCAACAUUCUAGGCACCAUCUUGGAAGUAGAGAUGGGCCUUGAACAGACAGACCUACUUUGAUCUUGGACUCUAGAAAUGGAAAAUAAAAAAAUUAUAUUACUUAUAAAUUGCCCAGUAUAUGGUAUUUUGUAAUAGCACAAACGGAUGAAGACAAAUGCUUUAAAAGUUGGUCAAAUUUAAUUUAUGCAAAAGUCUUGAUAGACUGUACACAGACAAAAGCUCUCUGGAGUUCUUGGCCAUGAGACUAAAACAUUUUUCAAAUCACUGACCAAAAAUUCUGGUCAUUACGUGGCCACUACCCGACUAUCCUACCUGAUCCUUCCCUAUACUGCUCUGCUCCCAACCCUAACUUCAGUUCCUGUUCUUACCCCCAUUCUCUCCCAACACAGGCUACGUUGGCAGAAACCCUGUCAUCCUCUUGAUCCAAUAAACUUGAUGCUAUUUUCAAAUUGCAUCCUUCCCGUUGUUAAUUCCUCAGGUAAGCCUCCCCCGAUCUUAAUUCAUUCAAAUUUGCUGUAAUAAAACCUCAUAGGUUUCUCACCUCUCA